CAGCACACACACACAGCACACACACGCACAGCACACACACAGGCAGCACACACAGCACACACAGGCAGCACACACACACAGCACACACACAGCAGCCGACGCCCCGUGGCGGCAUGGAGCCGUCUCUCUUGGCGGACAUCGCGGCCUUCGCGCGAGGCUCCCUGCGGCCCCAGAGGACCCGGGUGACCACGCCGGGGGGCCUCAGCUACACCGAGGGCCCGGGGGGCCCUACCCGGGGGGGCUCAGCUACACCGAGGGCCCGGGUGACCACGCCGGGGGGGCUCAGCUACACCGAGGGCCCGCGGGGCCCUACCCGGGGGGCCGAGGCCCGCGGGGGUCCGGGCGGCCGCUCGCUGGGCUUCGUGCCCGACUGGAGUGUCGACCUGCAGGUCGGGGUGGUGAAGCCGUGGCUGCUGCUGGCGAAUCCAACGCAUGGCCAGGCCACCGCUCAGGAGAUAUUCCGCCAGCCGUGUGAUGCCAUUGUGGAUGCCGGUUUACCGUGGAAGAGGUUUGCUGGAAUAACAACCGACGGAGCGCCAUCAAUGACAGGGAGGAGAAAUGGACUGGUGGCACUUGUUCAAAGAAAACUGGAAGAGGAGGGUGUGGAGGAGGCCAUUGCUCUGCACUGCAUUAUCCAUCAGCAGGCCCUUUACAGCAAAUGCCUGAAGUUUGACAAUGUGAUGUCUGUCGUUGUGAAAUGCAUCAACCAUAUCAGAUCCAGGGGCUUAAAGCACCGGCAGUUCCGCGCCUUUUUAGAGGAAAUAGAGUCAGCAUAUGAGGAUGUGCUCUACUUCACCGAGGUACGUUGGCUCAGCAGGGGAAACGUCUUGAAGAGGUUUUUUGAGUUAAGAGCAGAAGUGAAAGCCUUCAUGGAGAAGUAUGGGAUGGCUGUUCCUGUGCUAAGUGAUCCCAAAUGGCUCAUGGACUUAGCUUUUCUUGUUGACAUCACACAGGAGCUGAAUGUACUACAAGGCCAGGGGCAGCUUGUCAGUGCUGCCUAUGACAAAGUCGGAGCAUUCUCCACAAAACUUGUGUUAUGGAAAGCCCAGCUCUCUCAGACAAACCUCUGCCAUUUCACAGCAUGCAAGGCACUCAUGGACGCGGGCACACCAUUCAGUGGUGAGAAGUAUGCUGAUGCCAUUGUAAAGCUACAGGAGGAAUUUGAUCACAGGUUUGCAGACUUCAAGACACAGAGCCACUUUUCAAUUUUUUGCUGACCCCUUCUCCUUCGAUGUGCAAGAUGCCCCUCCUGUGCUUCAAAUGGAGCUAAUUGACCUGCAGUGCAAUUCUGAACUCAAAGCCAAGUUCAGGGAGGUGAGUGCAAAAGCAGACAAGCUUGGACAAUUUUUGAGAGAAUUGCCCCCCACCUUCCCUGAGCUUUCCAGGAUGUUCAAGCGGACCAUGUGCCUUUUUGGGAGCACAUAUCUGUGUGAAAAGCUCUUCUGCACCGUGAACUUUAAUAAGUCAAAGUACAGGUCCAAACUUACUGAUGAGCAUCUUCAAGCCAUACUGAGGGUCUCAAUUGCUUCCUCCCUCAAGCCAAAUGUGGCUCAGCUGUGUAAGAAGAGGAAGCGCUGCCAGGUCUCUGGCAGCAAGGAGUAGGUUCACAAGACGUGGCUCAGGACAUCCGGACACUACAGCAACAUAAGGUUUCACAUAUUCUGAACGUGGCGUACGGAGUGGACAAUGCAUUUCCCGAUAGCUACAUCUACAAGAUAGUGACGAUGCUGGAUGUUCCAGACACGAAGCUCACCAACUACUUUCCAGAGUGCUUCGACUUCAUUUCAAGGGCUCACAAACAGGUGCGGAAAAUUACUCAAUUAACCACAGCACACUUAUUUCAGAUGUAUUCAGGAAGUUGAAGCGAAAUAUAAUCACAUACCUUUGGAGCAAAGCCAGGUGCGGUUAUAUAUCUUAAGUAGUCUGUAUCAGAAGUUGUACUUUAUCUUCCCCCACACCAACAGUGAAAGGAUGUGUUGCCUUUAUCUAGCUUCUAGUCAAUUAAAAAUCUGGAGUAGCAGGGAUUUGCCCAACAAAUAAGGGUGCUUUACCAGUCAUCCGGAACCAUACCCAGGCCCGACUUACGUGACGAGUUGACUACGAAUGUUUGGCAAUUUAUUUGAAUGUCUGCUUAUGAAUGUCUGCUUAUGAAUGUAACAUGAUUAUAAAUUACUAGAAGGAAUUGGUAAUAGUGAUGUCUGAUGUGUAUAUUGUAAUCAAUAUCCAUUGGAUUAAUUUGCUGUUCACACUCCAUAGUUGGGUUUAACACGCAGUUUCAUGCACGUCUCAGUAGGCAGUUAUACGUUUUAAGUACUCACCGACCGGUACAGCUGUUCACAAAAAAAGGGGAGCAUAGCAUGAAAAAUAUUGAGGCAUGUUAAGCACGCCGCUGCAGCCUGCUGAUGUGACAUGUUAUUGCCACAGGGUGGCGUGGUGUUGGUGCACUGCAAUGCAGGAGUGUCCCGUGCUGCCAGUGUCAUCAUUGGCUAUCUCAUCCAAGAGGAUGGACUCUCCUUCC